rnacentral:rRNA from 1 species
GAAAAGAACCCCGGGAGGGGAGUGAAAGAGAACCUGAAACCAUAUGCCUACAAGAAGUCAGAGCCCGUUAAAGGGUGAUGGCGUGCCUUUUGUAGAAUGAACCGGCGAGUUACUGUAUGGAGCGAGGUUAAGCAGGAUAUGCGGAGCCGAAGCGAAAGCGAGUCUUAAGAGGGCGAAAGUUGCAUGCAGUAGACCCGAAACCGGGUGAUCUAGCCAUGACCAGGUUGAAGUUGGGGUAAAACCCGAUGGAGGACCGAACCGACCCCCGUUGAAACGUUGGCGGAUGAGUUGUGGCUAGGGGUGAAAUUCCAAUCGAACCCGGAGAUAGCUGGUUCUCCCCGAAAUAGCUUUAGGGCUAGCGUCGAGGUAAGUUGCGUGAAGGUAGAGCACUGAAUAUGUGAUGGCCCCAUCUCGGGGUACUGAGCAUAAUCAAACUGCGAAUGUCACGCCAACAUGCUCGGCAGUCAGACAGCGGGUGAUAAGGUCCGUUGUCAAGAGGGAAACAGCCCAGACCAUCAGCUAAGGUCCCAAAAUGUAUGCUAAGUGGAAAAGGAUGUGGAGAUGUACAGACAACUAGGAGGUUGGCUCAGAAGCAGCCAUCCUUUAAAGAGUGCGUAACAGCUCACUAGUCGAAUGACUCUGCGCCGAUAAUUUACCGGGGCUAAGCAUACUACCGAAGCUAUGGAUCCCAAGGGAUGGUAGGGGAGCGUUCCAUGAACGGAGAAGUACGACCGAAAGGACGUGUGGAGAUCAUGGAAGAGAGAAUGCCGGUGUGAGUAGCGGAACGUGGGUGAGAAUCCCACGCACCGAAAACCCAAGGUUUCCAGAGGAAGGUUCGUCCGCUCUGGGUAAGUCGGGACCUAAGGCGAGGCCGAAAGGCGUAGUCGAUGGACAACAGGUAGAGAUUCCUGUACCCGUAUAUAUGUGAAGGAAUGACGGAGAGAGGAAGCUGCAGCCAGCGGCUGGAAGAGCUGGUGCAAGCGAGAUAUCGGGAUGGCAGGCAAAUCCACCAUCCGAAACGAGAAGGCGUGAAGCGUACGGAAAGCUACGGCGAGUACGGAAGGCAGUGGAGGAACUUCCAAGAAAAGUUUCUAACGUUAAGUAUAUAUGGCCCGUACCGAAAAUGGACACACAUGGGUGAGGAGAGAAUCCUAAGGUGAGCGAGAGAACUAUAGCUAAGGAACUCUGCAAAAUGACUCCGUAACUUAGGGAGAAGGAGUGCUCAUAGAGAUAUGAGCCGCAGUGAAACGGCCCAAGCGACUGUUUACCAAAAACACAGCUCUCUGCUAAGCCGCAAGGCGAAGUAUAGGGGGUGACGCCUGCCCGGUGCUGGAAGGUUAAGGGGAGGGGUUAACGCAAGUGAAGCCCUGAACUGAAGCCCCUAUAAACGGCGGCCGUAACUAUAACGGUCCUAAGGUAGCGAAAUUCCUUGUCAGGUAAGUUCUGACCCGCACGAAAGGCGUAACGAUUUGGGCGCUGUCUCAGCUGUAGACUCGGUGAAGUCUUAGUACCUGUGAAGAUGCAGGUUACCCGCGACUAGACGGAAAGACCCCAUGGAGCUUCACUGCAGGUUGAUAUUGGGAUUUGAUGCAGCAUGUACAGGAUAGGUAGGAGGCAAAGAGAUGGAUACGCCAGUAUUCAAGGAGCCGCUGUUGGGAUACUACCCCUGUUGUAUUGGAUUUCUAACCGGACGACGUAGAGCCGUUGACGGGACAGUGUCAGUCGGGCAGUUUGACUGGGGCGGUCGCCUCCCAAAGAGUAACGGAGGCGCCCAAAGAUACCCUCAGCUUGGAUGGAAACCAAGCGCAGAGUGCAAAGGCAAAAGGGUGUUUGACUGCGAGACCCACAAGUCGAGCAGGGACGAAAGUCGGGCUUAGUGAUCCGGCGGUGCUGAAUGGAAAGGCCGUCGCUCAACGGAUAAAAGCUACCCUGGGGAUAACAGG